CCAGACUCCUACGGGAGGCAGCAGUGGGGAAUAUUGCACAAUGGGGGAAACCCUGAUGCAGCAACGCCGCGUGGGUGAAGGAGCGUUUCGGCGCGUAAAGCCCUGUCAGCGGGGAAGAAGAAAGACGGUACCCGACCAAGAAGCCCCGGCUAACUACGUGCCAGCAGCCGCGGUAAUACGUAGGGGGCGAGCGUUAUCCGGAUUUACUGGGUGUAAAGGGAGCGUAGACGGCAGUGCAAGUCUGGAGUGAAAGGCGGGGGCUCAACCCCCGGACUGCUCUGGAAACUGUACGGCUGGAGUGCAGGAGAGGUAAGUGGAAUUCCUAGUGUAGCGGUGAAAUGCGUAGAUAUUAGGAGGAACACCAGUGGCGAAGGCGACUUUCUGGACUGUACCUGACGCUGAGGCGCGAAAGCGUGGGUAGCGAACGGGAUUAGAUACCCCGGUAGCC
rnacentral:rRNA from 1 species